rnacentral:rRNA from 1 species
CGGCCCAGACUCCUACGGGAGGCAGCAGUGGGGAAUAUUGCACAAUGGGCGAAAGCCUGAUGCAGCAACGCCGCGUGAGGGAUGACGGCCUUCGGGUUGUAAACCUCUUUUAGCAGGGAAGAAGCGAAAGUGACGGUACCUGCAGAAAAAGCGCCGGCUAACUACGUGCCAGCAGCCGCGGUAAUACGUAGGGCGCAAGCGUUAUCCGGAAUUAUUGGGCGUAAAGAGCUCGUAGGCGGUCUGUCGCGUCUGCUGUGAAAACCCGAGGCUCAACCUCGGGCCUGCAGUGGGUACGGGCAGACUAGAGUCCGGUAGGGGAGAUUGGAAUUCCUGGUGUAGCGGUGGAAUGCGCAGAUAUCAGGAGGAACACCGAUGGCGAAGGCAGAUCUCUGGGCCGUAACUGACGCUGAGGAGCGAAAGGGUGGGGAGCAAACAGGCUUAGAUACCCUGGUAGUCCACCCCGUAAACGUUGGGAACUAGUUGUGGGGUCCUUUCCACGGAUUCCGUGACGCAGCUAACGCAUUAAGUUCCCCGCCUGGGGAGUACGGCCGCAAGGCUAAAACUCAAAGGAAUUGACGGGGACCCGCACAAGCGGCGGAGCAUGCGGAUUAAUUCGAUGCAACGCGAAGAACCUUACCAAGGCUUGACAUAUACGAGAACGGGCCAGAAAUGGUCAACUCUUUGGACACUCGUAAACAGGUGGUGCAUGGUUGUCGUCAGCUCGUGUCGUGAGAUGUUGGGUUAAGUCCCGCAACGAGCGCAACCCUCGUUCUAUGUUGCCAGCACGUAAUGGUGGGAACUCAUGGGAUACUGCCGGGGUCAACUCGGAGGAAGGUGGGGAUGACGUCAAAUCAUCAUGCCCCUUAUGUCUUGGGCUUCACGCAUGCUACAAUGGCCGGUACAAAGGGCUGCGAUACCGUAAGGUGGAGCGAAUCCCAAAAAGCCGGUCCCAGUUCGGAUUGAGGUCUGCAACUCGACCUCAUGAAGUCGGAGUCGCUAGUAAUCGCAGAUCAGCAACGCUGCGGUGAAUACGUUCCCGGGUCUUGUACACACCGCCCGUCAAGUCAUGAAAGUCGGUAACA